rnacentral:rRNA from 1 species
CUACGGGGGGCUGCAGGCGAGAAAACUUUGCAAUGUGCGAAAGCACGACAAGGUUAAUCCGAGUGGUUUCUGCUAAAGGAACCUUUUGACAGUCCUAGAAACACUGUUGAAUAGGGGGUGGGCAAGUUCUGGUGUCAGCCGCCGCGGUAAAACCAGCACCUCAAGUGGUCAGGAUGAUUAUUGGGCCUAAAGCAUCCGUAGCCGGCUCUGUAAGUUUUCGGUUAAAUCUGUACGCUCAACGUACAGGCUGCCGGGAAUACUGCAGAGCUAGGGAGUGGGAGAGGUAGACGGUACUCGGUAGGAAGGGGUAAAAUCCUUUGAUCUAUUGAUGACCACCUGUGGCGAAAGCGGUCUACCAGAACACGUCCGACGGUGAGGGAUGAAAGCUGGGGGAGCAAACCGGAUUAGAUACCCGCGUAGUC